UUAGAAUAGGUUUUGAGCCUUACAUCUUUUCUUUCUUAAACUGUGAACUAGGCCACGUUACAACCCUCAAAAGACCUAAUUGAAGCAUGGUUUAUUUCAAAAGCAUAUUAUGGUAAGAUCACGUUAAGCUGACUCCUAAAGAUUUGCUUGUCAUUCAUAUUAAUACUGAUAUGACAUUCUAAUCAGUGAUUCGUUCACUAGAUGUCAUAAUCUUAGUGAACACACUUGAGUUUUAAAACUUGCAUGAGCAUGACAUUACAAUUAUCAUUUUCAAAAUGAGCAU
rnacentral:lncRNA from 1 species